GCUCAGGAUGAACGNCGGCGGUGUGCCUAAUACAUGCAAGUCGAACGCGUUGGCCCAAUUGAUUGAUGGUGCUUGCACCUGAUUGAUUUUGGUCGCUAACGAGUGGCGGACGGGUGAGUAACACGUAGGUAACCUGCCCAGAAGCGGGGGACAACAUUUGGAAACAGAUGCUAAUACCGCAUAACAACGUUGUUCGCAUGAACAACGCUUAAAAGAUGGCUUCUCGCUAUCACUUCUGGAUGGACCUGCGGUGCAUUAGCUUGUUGGUGGGGUAAUGGCCUACCAAGGCGAUGAUGCAUAGCCGAGUUGAGAGACUGAUCGGCCACAAUGGGACUGAGACACGGCCCAUACUCCUACGGGAGGCAGCAGUAGGGAAUCUUCCACAAUGGGCGCAAGCCUGAUGGAGCAACACCGCGUGAGUGAAGAAGGGUUUCGGCUCGUAAAGCUCUGUUGUUAAAGAAGAACACGUAUGAGAGUAACUGUUCAUACGUUGACGGUAUUUAACCAGAAAGUCACGGCUAACUACGUGCCAGCAGCCGCGGUAAUACGUAGGUGGCAAGCGUUAUCCGGAUUUAUUGGGCGUAAAGAGAGUGCAGGCGGUUUUCUAAGUCUGAUGUGAAAGCCUUCGGCUUAACCGGAGAAGUGCAUCGGAAACUGGAUAACUUGAGUGCAGAAGAGGGUAGUGGAACUCCAUGUGUAGCGGUGGAAUGCGUAGAUAUAUGGAAGAACACCAGUGGCGAAGGCGGCUACCUGGUCUGCAACUGACGCUGAGACUCGAAAGCAUGGGUAGCGAACAGGAUUAGAUACCCUGGUAGUCCAUGCCGUAAACGAUGAGUGCUAGGUGUUGGAGGGUUUCCGCCCUUCAGUGCCGGAGCUAACGCAUUAAGCACUCCGCCUGGGGAGUACGACCGCAAGGUUGAAACUCAAAGGAAUUGACGGGGGCCCGCACAAGCGGUGGAGCAUGUGGUUUAAUUCGAAGCUACGCGAAGAACCUUACCAGGUCUUGACAUCUUGCGCCAACCCUAGAGAUAGGGCGUUUCCUUCGGGAACGCAAUGACAGGUGGUGCAUGGUCGUCGUCAGCUCCUGUCCUGAAAUGUUGGGUUAAGUCCCGCAACGAGCGCAACCCUUGUUACUAGUUGCCAGCAUUAAGUGGGGACUCUAAUGAGACUGCCGGUGACAAACCGGAA
rnacentral:rRNA from 2 species